rnacentral:rRNA from 1 species
GCGUGGACGAUUUAGCCAUGCUAGUCGCACGAGUUCAGACUCGUGGCGAAUAGCUCAGUAACACGUGGCCAAACUACCCUUCGGAACACAAUACCCUCGGGAAACUGAGGCUAAUAGUGUAUACCAUACCACCACUGGAAUGAGUGGUAUGCCAAACGCUCCGGCGCCGAAGGAUGUGGCUGCGGCCGAUUAGGUAGACGGUGGGGUAACGGCCCACCGUGCCAAUAAUCGGUAUGGGUCAUGAGAGUGAGAACCCAGAGACGGAAUCUGAGACAAGAUUCCGGGCCCUGCGGGG